rnacentral:lncRNA from 1 species
CCUUUUCAUUGCCUCCCAGAACUCAUAUCCAUGUGUGGCUCUAGCAGCAUUCCAAAAUUCUUGUUUUAGACCAAGUCCAGGAUAUUGCUUCUUAAAGUUGUUGAAUAUAUGUCUAGCACAAAAUCUAUGACAUGCCUCAGGAAACCAAUUAUUGACAGCUUCAAUAAGUCCCUAUAUAAGAAAAAAAGUAUUAAACACAUAAUUUUGUUAACAGAAAAAUAAAAGUAUAAAUGGUUCUGAUAGUAAUACCUUUUGUCUGUCACUCAUGAAUGUCAGAGGUGUUUCAUCAUCUUUUGGACCAAUGCAGGUUUUCAAGCAAUCAAAGAAAAAAUCCCAACUUGCACCACACUCAAUCUCCACAAUUGCAAUAGCUAAAGGAAUCACACCUUUAUCACCAUCAAGUGAUAUAGCUGAUAGCAAAACACCUCCAAAUGGACCCUUCAAGUGGCAACCAUCAACACCUAUAAAUGGUCUACAUCCAGCUUUAAAGCCAUCUACAAUUGGUUUAAAAGACAAAGACAUCCUCUUAAAUACUUUUGGAUCAUUAUCUGAAAGCCUAUCUCCAAACUGAAAUUUGACAAAAGUUCCUGGAUUAUGCCUUUGUAGCUUCUUCACAUAUUCGUCUAAAAUCUUAUAACUAUCUCUGUGACUUUAUUAUUAAUUAAAAUAAAAUGUUCAAAAUAACAAAAGGCGG